AUACUGAUGUGGGAGGAGAGGGCCCUGAGCCCAAGAUGGUGUUCCUCAGGAAAAUGUUUUUUCCUUGUGCUGACUCCAUCAAUUUCCCCAAACAGGAAGGUCAACUGCACAAUUUUAAGUAGCAGGGACCGUGUUCUCCCUU
rnacentral:snRNA from 12 species